rnacentral:tRNA from 1 species
GGGGUUAUAGCUCAGUGGUAGAGUGCUUGCCUAGCAUUCAUGAGUUGCUGGGUUUGAUUCUCAGUACCA